ACCCUUGUAGAGGAGAAAAUCUGGACCUAAUGAAUGCUGGGACAAGUAAACACCUGAUAUCAUGAAGCACAGUUUACCCAGGAUUAGCAAGGUGACAAGUCAGAGUUGAAGGUACCCGUUCAGGACAGCAACCGGAGUGAAUGAACAAUGACAUUGAAUCGGAGUGUUCGUUUGUCUCUUGGUGAGGGGGCGCUCAACACCCGACCCCCGCAACAGAGUUCAGCACCAGAGACAAUUGUGGUAAACUGAUCUGACGUGUUACUGUAGUUCGUGCAGUAAUUUAAACCCUUAAAUCUGCCAAUACAAUUAUGGCAACUAAUCGAGAUGGGAAGACUUUGACUCGCAGGAGAGGCAGCCCUGGAAAGCUGGCACGAAAAGUCAGCUUGGAGUUUGGCAGAAUAAAUAAAGUGAAGGGGUGUGGAGCUGAAUCUUUGUCGGCAGUGUCACUCAUCAACAUGGAAGGCGGGGAUGGUCCAAUGUCAGUCCCAUUGGGUAUAAAUUGGGUGGAAGAGUGCGGCCAAUGAGGGCGGGGGCUGUUGCUCUGGUUAACUGGGGAGGGGGGCCAGCUUUUUUUCUCCUGCCGGGAGUCAGACGUGAUUCUCCUCGUUGUCGAGGAACGUCGACUUCACGUCAUCGCAGGAGAUGGUGAGGGGCUGAGCUAUUUUAAAUGCUGUGAUUGUAGAGAGUCCCUGCCCAUCUGUCUGUGUCUAUGUGGGAGAGAGAGCGGAGGUGCGGAGCCGGGCUGCGAGAUUUAACAGGCGGGGGGUGAUCAGGGAAAUGCGAGGUGGUGCGCUGGCUGGUCAGAAAAAGACUCAACUUGGCCCCAGCCGUUCCUGAGGAGGGAGGAGAUCGCCCCCGACCCAAGAUGACUCUAGUGCCGGAGGAAAACAUCGACGAGUCGGUGGCGUUGGCCGCGCUUUCUCAGGGUAACUGCGACCCCGAGCUGUUGGGGCAAGAAUGCUGCGAGAGGGCGCUCAUCAACAUCUCGGGGCUGAGGUUCGAGACGCAGCUUCGGACCCUCGCCCAGUUCCCCGACACCUUGCUGGGCGACCCCAGGAAGAGGAUGCGCUACUUCGACCCUCUUCGAAACGAGUAUUUCUUCGACAGGAAUCGCCCCAGCUUCGACGCCAUCCUCUACUUCUACCAGUCGGGCGGGAGGCUGAGGAGACCCGCGAAUGUGCCCGUCGACAUUUUCAUGGAGGAGAUUAAAUUCUACGAGAUGGGAGAAGAGGCCAUCGAAAAUUUUCGAGAGGAGGAAGGUUUUAUCAAGGAAGAAGAGCGCAUUUUGCCCACCAACGAGUACCAGCGUCAAGUUUGGCUUCUGUUCGAAUACCCGGAGAGCUCGGGGUCCGCCAAGGGGAUCGCCAUCGUCUCCGUCCUUGUCAUUCUCAUCUCCAUCAUCAUCUUCUGUCUGGAGACCCUGCCGGAAUUCAGAGAAGAUGCCCGCCUGGAACCGAGGAGAAUCGCUGCCAAUGGCACUGACACCUUGGGGGUGAACAUGUUCACCGACCCCUUCUUCAUCAUCGAGACUCUCUGCAUUGUUUGGUUCUCUUUCGAACUGUUGGUGAGAUUUUUCUCCUGCCCCAGCAAAUCCAGCUUCUCCAAGAAUAUCAUGAACAUCAUUGAUAUCGUGGCUAUCAUCCCUUACUUCAUCACCCUGUUUACCGAGUUAGUGUAUCACCAAAGCAACGGGCAGCAGACGAUGUCCUUGGCGAUCCUCAGGGUCAUCCGGCUGGUUCGAGUGUUCCGGAUCUUCAAGCUGUCCAGGCACUCCAAGGGGCUCCAGAUCCUGGGGAAAACCCUGCAAGCCAGUCUGAGGGAGCUGGGCUUGCUCAUGUUCUUCCUCUUCAUCGGAGUCAUCCUGUUUUCCAGCGCCGUUUACUUCGCCGAGACGGACGACCCGGACUCCAGCUUCUCCAGCAUCCCGGACGCUUUCUGGUGGGCAGUAGUUACCAUGACGACGGUGGGUUACGGAGACAUGCAUCCCGUCACCAUCGGAGGCAAGAUCGUGGGAUCCCUGUGCGCCAUCGCCGGGGUCCUGACCAUCGCGCUGCCCGUGCCCGUCAUUGUGUCCAACUUCAACUACUUCUACCACCGGGAGAACGAGCACGAAGACCAGGCUGAGUACAUGCACAUCAGCAGCGGGCAGCAGGCACACUCCCUCGGCCAUCUCAAGGCCAGCAACCAGUCCCUCAACAAAAGCGAGGCGGAGGACAACGUGGACGCAAUGAUCAUGGAUCAUCAGUACCCCGACUACACCCCCAUCAAACAGAGACCGUCAGACAACCAGACCAGGAAAAUAUUCACUGAUGUAUGAUCGAAGGGAGGAGACAGAGUGGGGGGAACGGGGGCUAAAUACUAACUGAGAAACUCUCCAUCCAGUGCUUUAAGUCACGUUAAAAAGAAACAUUUUAUGAUGUUCAGUCUCACCAACACAUGGAGGCUGAAAAAUUGUACAAAUACAUUUGUGACAGAAUUAGAUCUAGGCAGAGGGAUGCGUCAGAUUGCUCAACAGUUUUAUUUUAGCUUUGCUAUCAACAUAUUAAAUUUUUGACAUUUUCUGCGGUUUAAUCCAAUUAGACCACCGCUUGUUCUGCUUUCGUUUUCACACGUCCGUUAUUCUAUUUACAGCUUAAUCUUCAAAGCACACUGGCUAAAUUGAACAAAAAAAAACAAACAAAAUCGAUUUUUGAAAAUCAGUCCCAGCAAUUCUGCAUCGGUCGUGGGUUUGGGGAUCUCGACGGGCAGUGUGUAUUUCAACGGGGAAGGGGAUUCAGCUCCCACGCCCACCCUCCACCACCUCGGCGGGAGAAUGUCUGACCUGAAUGGGGAACAAACAAUGCUUCAGAAUUUUCAAAUCAGUAGGAAAACGUUUGCAAAGAAAGCGGAGGGGGCGGAAGGGAGGAAUCAACCAGCAAUCAAACAGAGAGAAGGAGAAAGGAGCAAAACAAUGUGAAGAUUACGAAUCGAAGAACAAACAGCUAUUGCUGCAAUACCAGAAAUGAAUAUCCAGACAGCAUCAACUCCACCAUGGAACUGACCCUAAUUAUUCCUGCUAUUGUGUCAAAGCAAUUUUCGUUACGAUAGUUGUGCUACAUCGGAUAAAUUUGAUGUGCCAUUGUCCUGCUUCUCUCCACAUGGGGGAGAAUUAGGCAAAAACCCUUUGCUUUUUAAUAUCAGAAAUCGCAUUUGUGAAGAAACGGCGGUCGAUACCUUAAAACAAUUGUGGCUGAUGAUUGCAUUGGUGCCAUUAUUUUGUUACACUUGACGGUUCCGGCUGCUCCCCAGCCCUACCCCUCCUCAUAAUAUGAACGUCUUGAAGUGCCUGCCUGAGAAAUACAAAACAAGGGACACGUGUGAGAUUCAGGCGGAGGCGGUCUGGCUGCAGCGGCACGCUGCCGGCGGCGGCGAUGCGCCGACUAACCAGCACCUCCCCGUGGGAUAAUCUCGUCAGCGUCGGCGGUUGUCACGGCAACCUUCCGGCCUGCUCUCUCGCCCGACGGCCGGAGGUGUCAAACCUCACUCAAAAAAAUAUACCCUUUCACAAAUGACUUCAUUGCUGCUUCAUUUGCAUCGAUAUUCUGCAAAAAUAAAACCCAAACUCGCUGCAGCGUGGAGACAUUGUAUCAUUGCGAGCGUAAUAUUUAAUUUCUCUGUAUCCAGUGGCUGCUCAACGAGUUACAAUUUAUCCCAACAGUUUCUUCCAGCACAGCUGUAGGUUGAAGUAUCCAAAGCAAAUAAAUGCAUUUUACGGCGUGAGUGACCAGUCACUAUUUGCCAGCUGCAAAUUGGCCAGUUCAAUCAUAAGAGACGAUUUUCAAUUCUGACUGACUUUAACCCCAGCACAAAGGUCCUUGUUCCCAGGCCCCAAGUUCGCCCCACGUGACAGCCAAAUAGCCACACCACCUGGAAUUGUGGCGAGCGGAUUUCAGACAAAUCCGUGAUCGAUGGAUUCAUAUGAAAUCGAGGGGUAAAUCCUUUGUGAAAUCAGCCCAGUACCCGGAGUUAGGUCGCUCCCUGGUCAAUAAGAUGCAACAGUCGUUGCACGGGAACACCAAAUCAACAGGAGUGCGAAUUCUCACUGGAAUGAGUAACUCAAGUCCCUCGGAUAAAGGGCGAAUGCCUUUCCCUUUUAUUAUUUCAAGGCAUUCAGUCCGCACACGCACACUGGGGAACUUGAAGCGAUUGCUAAAGUUCCUUUGCCGGACCCUUCACUGAUCACCGGACGCGAUCCAGUGGGACACUGACCUGCUUGGAAUUGCCAAGUCUGCUGUGCAGGCCUUGGGGGUCUAAGGAAAGGACUAAUGCAGCCAAAUCUCCUUGCAGGCCACACAGAAAAUACAAGGUUUCCACUAAUUGGGAAAACCAAAAUUCACAAAGAGAGGAAUGUUCACGACAUCAAAAUUGCCAGUUUGUGACGGCACGGUGUGAAAGGAAGAAAAUGAUUUGGUACAUGAUCCCUUCUGUACACCAGCUGAUCGAAUCACCUGCUGCAUGACCCAGGAUGAAAUAACUAAUUCUGAAUCAAUGUGUCCAAACAUGUUGAGUAAAGGCUGAACCACAAGAGUAGAAUUGGAAGAAAAAAAACAGGUACAUAAACACAUUGGAAAAAGUGGAUCCCACACGCGUGUAUCUGCUACUAUGUUAAGACAGAACCCCAAUCCUAUUUCUGGAGCUAAAAUUCAUGCACCAUUUUAAAAUGUAUGUGUUCAGAUUUUGAUAAUUGUUUUUUGCCUUUUAAAGAUCGUUUCUUUUGAUUUUAAUUUAAUUUUACACAAAAUGUGGAGGACUUGUACAUUACAAGGAAAUAAAUUUAUAUGGAUGUUCUUACUAUCCCAAUCACACAAUAUGCCUAUUACAUAUCAUUUCAACCAUUGAAAAUACUAAAGCUUUUAUCUGGCUGCAAUUAUCCUAACUAAAAUUUAACUUGUGGGGUCUAUCAUCAAUUGUGGACAGUAAAUACUGUUCUGAUACUGUGGGUUUAAUCUUGUGGGUGAAUUGUUCAAAUAUCUAUUUUUGUAUAUAUUAUAUAUGUUUUAUAUCAAAUGAUUGAGUUUACUAGUGAUAUAUUAAUUAUAAAAGUUAUAGGGUUUUAGUUACAUAGAUUUCAAUUUCUUUGGAAGACCUGUUCAGGGUGAUGGUGGUAAAUGUUUCAGUCAGAAAUUCAGUUGCAUUUUAACAUGCUAUGAUUUGUUGGUAAAGGAUUAAUGCAUCUUGUUUGCAAAUUAUCAAUGCACUUUUGUCAGAUCAUUGUAUCACUGUAAUUAAAGACAUCUACCUCAGUUUGAUGUAUUCACUCAUUUUUCUUUUAUUUAUGUGCCAAUACAUUUUUGACAUUAUUAUGUGUUCUUGUAUGGUGAAGGAUUU